rnacentral:rRNA from 1 species
GACGAGGGAUCCUAGCGUUGUUCGGAAUCAUUGGGCGUAAAGCGUGUGUAGGCUGCCAUUCAAGUCAGUUGUGAAAUCCCCGGGCUCAACCCGGGAAGUGCUUCUGAUACUGUUUGGCUUGAGUACUGGAGAGGAUAGUAGAAUUCCUGGUGUAGUGGUGAAAUCGUAGAUAUCUGGAGGAAUACCGGUGGCGAAGGCGGCAUCCUGGACCGGCAUUGACGCUGAGUGAGCGAAAGCCAGGGGGAGCAAACGGG